rnacentral:tRNA from 1 species
GCCUGGCUGGCUCAGUCAGAAGAGCAUGCGAUUCUUGAUCUCGAGGUUGUGAGUUCAAUUCCCAUAUCGGGUG